GCGUCGGUGGUCUAAACUGUGGGUUUCCUCACUUCGUUCGUCAAGCCCACUAAAAUAAGGCUGCCAUAAAUGACUUCGGCCUUCCAAGCCGACUAUCCGGGUUCAAAUCCCGGCCGACGCA
rnacentral:tRNA from 1 species